AACUAGAUGCAGUGCUAGGCUUCACUCUGCAAGGGAGUGGAAUAAGAGUGCCUCUCUCUCUAGAUGGGAACUUUGCUUCAUGGGACAUUACAACUGUAUGCCUUAAGGCAGAAAAGCACAUAAAGGUACCUGGGAAAGUAA